rnacentral:ncRNA from 1 species
UUAAGUAGAGGUGCGUUGAUUAUCAGUAACAUGUACAUUCAUACAUGUGAAAGGAUGAUACGCCGAAGUAAAAGUCUAUAGACUUUUGCUGGGGGUAUGUUUAAUAGACAUAUCACUGUCCUAUCUAU